rnacentral:misc_RNA from 1 species
CGCACAUUGCGCCUAAUAGUAUUCUGUUAGGCAUGCCUGUUCGAGCGUCAUUUCAACCCCCAAGCCCUAUUUGCUUGACGUUGGGAGCCUACAGCUGCUGUAGCUCCUCAAAUUUAGUGGCGGAGCUAGGUCAUGCCCUGAGCGUAGUAACUACAUUCUCGCUCCAGGCGCUGCCCCGUAUCCCGCCGUAAAACCCCCUAAAUUGUAUUCUGGUUGACCUCGGAUCAGGUAGGAAUACCCGCUGAACUUAA